AUUGAACGCUGGCGGCAUGCCUUACACAUGCAAGUCGAACGGUAACAGGUCUUCGGAUGCUGACGAGUGGCGAACGGGUGAGUAAUACAUCGGAACGUGCCUAGUAGUGGGGGAUAACUACUCGAAAGAGUGGCUAAUACCGCCUGAGAUCUACGGAUGAAAGCAGGGGAUCGCAAGACCUUGUGCUACUAGAGCGGCCGAUGGCAGAUUAGGUAGUUGGUGGGAUAAAAGCUUACCAAGCCGACGAUCUGUAGCUGGUCUGAGAGGACGAUCAGCCACACUGGGACUGAGACACGGCCCAGACUCCUACGGGAGGCAGCAGUGGGGAAUUUUGGACAAUGGGCGAAAGCCUGAUCCAGCAAUGCCGCGUGCAGGAUGAAGGCCUUCGGGUUGUAAACUGCUUUUGUACGGAACGAAAAGCCCCGGGUUAAUACCCUGGGGUCAUGACGGUACCGUAAGAAUAAGCACCGGCUAACUACGUGCCAGCAGCAGCCGCAG
rnacentral:rRNA from 1 species